UAGGUGUCGCAAGACUUCAAAAGGAAUCCGGUCAAAGCCGGAGCGGUCCCGCCACUGUAAGAGGAGCCCGUCAAAAUAUGCCACUGGAGAGAUCCGGGAAGGUUUGACGCGGCGAUGAAUCUAAGCCAGGAGACUUGCCUGUUUC
rnacentral:ncRNA from 1 species